GGGUUGUGAGGUUAAGCGACUAAGCGUACACGGUGGAUGCCCUGGCAGUCAGAGGCGAUGAAGGACGUGCUAAUCUGCGAUAAGCGUCGGUAAGGUGAUAUGAACCGUUAUAACCGGCGAUUUCCGAAUGGGGAAACCCAGUGUGUUUCGACACACUAUCAUUAACUGAAUCCAUAGGUUAAUGAGGCGAACCGGGGGAACUGAAACAUCUAAGUACCCCGAGGAAAAGAAAUCAACCGAGAUUCCCCCAGUAGCGGCGAGCGAACGGGGAGCAGCCCAGAGCCUGAAUCAGUGUGUGUGUUAGUGGAAGCGUCUGGAAAGGCGCGCGAUACAGGGUGACAGCCCCGUACACAAAAAUGCACAUGCUGUGAGCUCGAUGAGUAGGGCGGGACACGUGGUAUCCUGUCUGAAUAUGGGGGGACCAUCCUCCAAGGCUAAAUACUCCUGACUGACCGAUAGUGAACCAGUACCGUGAGGGAAAGGCGAAAAGAACCCCGGCGAGGGGAGUGAAAAAGAACCUGAAACCGUGUACGUACAAGCAGUGGGAGCACGCUUAGGCGUGUGACUGCGUACCUUUUGUAUAAUGGGUCAGCGACUUAUAUUCUGUAGCAAGGUUAACCGAAUAGGGGAGCCGAAGGGAAACCGAGUCUUAACUGGGCGUUAAGUUGCAGGGUAUAGACCCGAAACCCGGUGAUCUAGCCAUGGGCAGGUUGAAGGUUGGGUAACACUAACUGGAGGACCGAACCGACUAAUGUUGAAAAAUUAGCGGAUGACUUGUGGCUGGGGGUGAAAGGCCAAUCAAACCGGGAGAUAGCUGGUUCUCCCCGAAAGCUAUUUAGGUAGCGCCUCGUGAAUUCAUCUCCGGGGGUAGAGCACUGUUUCGGCAAGGGGGUCAUCCCGACUUACCAACCCGAUGCAAACUGCGAAUACCGGAGAAUGUUAUCACGGGAGACACACGGCGGGUGCUAACGUCCGUCGUGAAGAGGGAAACAACCCAGACCGCCAGCUAAGGUCCCAAAGUCAUGGUUAAGUGGGAAACGAUGUGGGAAGGCCCAGACAGCCAGGAUGUUGGCUUAGAAGCAGCCAUCAUUUAAAGAAAGCGUAAUAGCUCACUGGUCGAGUCGGCCUGCGCGGAAGAUGUAACGGGGCUAAACCAUGCACCGAAGCUGCGGCAGCGACGCUUAUGCGUUGUUGGGUAGGGGAGCGUUCUGUAAGCCUGUGAAGGUGUACUGUGAGGUAUGCUGGAGGUAUCAGAAGUGCGAAUGCUGACAUAAGUAACGAUAAAGCGGGUGAAAAGCCCGCUCGCCGGAAGACCAAGGGUUCCUGUCCAACGUUAAUCGGGGCAGGGUGAGUCGACCCCUAAGGCGAGGCCGAAAGGCGUAGUCGAUGGGAAACAGGUUAAUAUUCCUGUACUUGGUGUUACUGCGAAGGGGGGACGGAGAAGGCUAUGUUGGCCGGGCGACGGUUGUCCCGGUUUAAGCGUGUAGGCUGGUUUUCCAGGCAAAUCCGGAAAAUCAAGGCUGAGGCGUGAUGACGAGGCACUACGGUGCUGAAGCAACAAAUGCCCUGCUUCCAGGAAAAGCCUCUAAGCAUCAGGUAACAUCAAAUCGUACCCCAAACCGACACAGGUGGUCAGGUAGAGAAUACCAAGGCGCUUGAGAGAACUCGGGUGAAGGAACUAGGCAAAAUGGUGCCGUAACUUCGGGAGAAGGCACGCUGAUAUGUAGGUGAAGUCCCUCGCGGAUGGAGCUGAAAUCAGUCGAAGAUACCAGCUGGCUGCAACUGUUUAUUAAAAACACAGCACUGUGCAAACACGAAAGUGGACGUAUACGGUGUGACGCCUGCCCGGUGCCGGAAGGUUAAUUGAUGGGGUUAGCGCAAGCGAAGCUCUUGAUCGAAGCCCCGGUAAACGGCGGCCGUAACUAUAACGGUCCUAAGGUAGCGAAAUUCCUUGUCGGGUAAGUUCCGACCUGCACGAAUGGCGUAAUGAUGGCCAGGCUGUCUCCACCCGAGACUCAGUGAAAUUGAACUCGCUGUGAAGAUGCAGUGUACCCGCGGCAAGACGGAAAGACCCCGUGAACCUUUACUAUAGCUUGACACUGAACAUUGAGCCUUGAUGUGUAGGAUAGGUGGGAGGCUUUGAAGUGUGGACGCCAGUCUGCAUGGAGCCGACCUUGAAAUACCACCCUUUAAUGUUUGAUGUUCUAACGUUGACCCGUAAUCCGGGUUGCGGACAGUGUCUGGUGGGUAGUUUGACUGGGGCGGUCUCCUCCUAAAGAGUAACGGAGGAGCACGAAGGUUGGCUAAUCCUGGUCGGACAUCAGGAGGUUAGUGCAAUGGCAUAAGCCAGCUUGACUGCGAGCGUGACGGCGCGAGCAGGUGCGAAAGCAGGUCAUAGUGAUCCGGUGGUUCUGAAUGGAAGGGCCAUCGCUCAACGGAUAAAAGGUACUCCGGGGAUAACAGGCUGAUACCGCCCAAGAGUUCAUAUCGACGGCGGUGUUUGGCACCUCGAUGUCGGCUCAUCACAUCCUGGGGCUGAAGUAGGUCCCAAGGGUAUGGCUGUUCGCCAUUUAAAGUGGUACGCGAGCUGGGUUUAGAACGUCGUGAGACAGUUCGGUCCCUAUCUGCCGUGGGCGCUGGAGAACUGAGGGGGGCUGCUCCUAGUACGAGAGGACCGGAGUGGACGCAUCACUGGUGUUCGGGUUGUCAUGCCAAUGGCACUGCCCGGUAGCUAAAUGCGGAAGAGAUAAGUGCUGAAAGCAUCUAAGCACGAAACUUGCCCCGAGAUGAGUUCUCCCUGACUCCUUGAGAGUCCUGAAGGAACGUUGAAGACGACGACGUUGAUAGGCCGGGUGUGUAAGCGCAGCGAUGCGUUGAGCUAACCGGUACUAAUGAACCGUGAGGCUUAACCUUACAACGCCGAAGCUGUU
rnacentral:rRNA from 1 species